UUGGCACAAGCAUUAUGUUUAUGGGAUCUUUUACUUGGGGUAAGUCUUUUGCCUCCACUCGAAGUAGUAAGUCCACACAUGGACUUACCCUAAGAGCAGUGUGUCUACUCCUGGUGUCUUAUGUCUUGCUUGUGCUGCAAUUCAGUGAACGAGAGGAAUAGCUGCUGCAGAAGCACGGAGUGUUACUUAAGGGCGAGGGGAGGGGUAUUGCUCAGCCUGUGAUCUUGUGCGAGAUCUUGUGGUCUUGCAGAACAGUGGCAGUAGGAACGCCUCUCUUGACCGAUAUGUGCAAAGUGACUCAAACCUCGCUGGCUGCCACUUGAACACAGGUUAUAAACGUUUGACUGAUAACAAAACUGAAAAGGAAGCAAUCCCCUGUUACUUUUAUUGAAGAAAGCCAGGGGAAGGAGUUUAAGGCCGCCGGGCUAAUUGACUUCAAUGGCGGUGAGGGGAAGAGAGUGCCUGCAGAAUGUGCUGGAGGAUGCAGGGGGUGGGCAAAAAGUGAGGAGGGAAGCAUCACUAGGGCAGCUGGCCUAAACCAAUCAAAGGGAUAUUCCGUACCAUGUGAUGUCACACUCGGCAAGAAAAGGUGGAAAAAGGAAGAACAGAGGAGGGGUGGGCUCUCGUUUGGAAGACGUCGGUCCUCCUCUCCAACACCGGCUGCGUGCGUUGAGGCCUUGCUUCAAGGACGUGGUCAAUCAUCGCUCAUUUGUGGGAAGUAGAGAUUACGAGCUGGGACAUUUUCUGCAGCCUGUGGGACUGAACGAAGUUUGGAGUGAAUAG
rnacentral:lncRNA from 1 species